rnacentral:rRNA from 1 species
GUCUAUGGCCAUGCUACCCUGAACAAGCCCAAUCCCAUCUGAUCUCAGAAGCUAAGCAAGAUUGGGCCUCGUUUGUACUUGGAUGGGAGACCACCUAGAAAGACCAGGUACUGUAGGCG